rnacentral:rRNA from 1 species
AACGAACGCUGGCGGCAGGCCUAACACAUGCAAGUCGAACGGGACCUUCGGGUCUAGUGGCGGACGGGUGAGUAACGCGUGGGAACGUGCCCUUCGGUUCGGAAUAGCCCUGGGAAACUGGGAGUAAUACCGGAUACGGUCGAGAGACGAAAGAUUGAUCGCCGAAGGCGCGGCCCGCGUUGGAUUAGGUAGUCGGUGGGGUAAUGGCCUACCAAGCCGACGAUCCAUAGCUGGUUUGAGAGGAUGAUCAGCCACACUGGGACUGAGACACGGCCCAGACUCCUACGGGAGGCAGCAGUGGGGAAUCUUAGACAAUGGGGGAAACCCUGAUCUAGCCAUGCCGCGUGAGCGAUGAAGGCCUUAGGGUUGUAAAGCUCUUUCAGUGGGGAAGAUAAUGACGGUACCCACAGAAGAAGCCCCGGCUAACUCCGUGCCAGCCGCCGCAGUAA